rnacentral:rRNA from 1 species
AUUGAACGCUGGCGGCAGGCCUAACACAUGCAAGUCGAACGAGUGGCGGACGGGUGAGUAAUGUCUGGGAAACUGCCCGAUGGAGGGGGAUAACUACUGGAAAAGGUAGCUAAUACCGCAUACCAUCGGAUGUGCCCAGAUGGGAUUAGCUAGUAGGGGGGGUAACGGCUCACCAAGGCGAAGAUCCCUAGCUGGUCUGAGAGGAUGACCAGCCACACUGGAACUGAGCAACGGUCCAGACGCCUACGGGAGCCAGCAGUGGGGAAUAUUGCACAAUGGGCGCAAGCCUGAUGCAGCCAUGCCGCGUGUAGGAAGAAGGCCUUCGGGUUGUAAAGUACUUUCAGCGAGGAGGCGUUACUCGCAGAAGAAGCACCGGCUAACUCCGUGCCAGCAGCCGCGGUAAUUC